ACCCCCUAAACACUAAUUCAUUAUUAAAGUCACCAAAAUUUAAGCAUUUUUAACAAAUAAAGUAACCAACAACAUCACCUUCUAAACACUAAUUCACUAUUAAAGUCACAAAAACUUAAGCUUUUUCAACUAACAAAGGCACCAACAAAACUAAUUCACUAUUAAAGUCACCGGCACUUAAGCAUUUUCAAUAAACAAAGUAACCAACAACAUCAUCUUCUAAACAAAAGUUCACUAUUAAAGUCACCAGCACUUAAGCAUUUUUAACAAAUAAAGUAACCAACAACAUCACCUUCCAAACAAAAGUUCACUAUUAAAGUCACCGGCACUUAAGCAUUAUCAACAAAUAAAGUCACCAACAACAUCACCUCCUAAACACUAGUUCACUAUUAAAGUCACCAAAACUUAAGCUUUUUCAACUAACAAAGGCACUAAUGAAACUAAUUCACUAUUAAAGUCACCAAAAGUUAAGCAUUUUCAAUAAAUAAAGUCACCAACAAUAUCACCUUUUAAACACUAAUUUACUAUUAAAGUCACCAAAAGUUAAGCAUUUUCUACAAAUAAAGUCACCAACAACAUCACCUUCUAAACACUAAUUCAUUAUUAAUGUCACCAAAACUUAAGCUUUUUCAAUUAACAAAGGCACCAACGAAACUAAUUCACUUUUAAUGUCACCAAAACUUAAGCAUUUUCAACAAAUAAACUCACCAACAACAUCACUUUCUAAACACUAAUUCACUAUUAAAGUGACCGGCACUUAAGCAUUUUCAACAAAUAAAGUAACCAACAACAUCACCUUUUAAACAAAAGUUCACUUUUAAAGUCACCGGCGCUUAAGCAUUUUCAACAAAUAAAGUAACCAACAACAUCACCUUCCAAACAAAAGUCUACUAUUAAAGUCUCCGGCAGUUAAAUAUUUUCAACAAAUAAAGUAACCAAUAACAUCACCUUCUAAAUAAAAGUUCACUUUUAAAGUCACCAGCACUUAAGCAUUUUCAACAAAUAAAGUAACCAAUAACAUCACCUUCUAAAUAAAAGUUCACUUUUAAAGUCACCAGCACUUAAGCAUUUUCAACAAAUAAAGUCACCAACAACAUCACCUCCUAAACACUAGUUCACUAUUAAAGUUACCAAAGCUUAAACUUUUUCUACUAACAAAGGUACUAACGAAACUAAUUCACUAUUAAAGUCCCCGCACGUUAAGCAUUUUCAACAAAUAAAGUCACCAACAACAUCACCUUCUAAACACUAAUUCACUAUUAAAGUCACCGGCGCUUAAGCAUUUUCAACAAAUAAAGUAACCAACAACAUCACCUUCUAAACACAAGUUCACUUUUAAAGUCACUGACACUUAAUCAUUUUCAACAAAUAAAGUAACCAACAACAUCACCUUCCAAACAAAAUUUCACUAUUAAAGUCACCGGCACUUAAGCAUUUUCAACAAAUAAAGCCACCAACUAAACCAUUUUCAAUCAACUAAGUAUCAAAACAGAAACAAAUUCAAAAUAAAAAAAAUACCUUUCAAAGUCUCUAGACUUAACCAUUUUCGAGCAAGUAAGUGACCUAACAAAUCACAUUCAAAACAAAAAAAAUCUUCUUCAAAGUCCCUACACUUAACCAUUUUGAAGUUAUUAAGUCAUCAAAUAAGUCAUAUUCAAAACAUAAAAUCCCCUUCAAAAUUCUUACUCUUAACCACUUUCAACCUACCGUGUCACCCUUAAAGUCUCUACACUUAUUCAUUUUCAACCUACCAAGUCUCCAAAUCAUUUUCAACCUACCAAUUCCCUAAACAUUCAAGAUCAAGUUCACAAUACAAUUUUCAAGCAACAACAAAACCAACAAGAUGUCAAGAACAAUGCUAGUGAUUCGCACAAGGCCACACACGGCUUCACUAGACUUCAAUAUAAACAGUCAAAGAAAGAUAACAACAAUAGUGAAUCGCAUAAGGCCUCACAUGGCUUCACUAUGUCCACAUACCUUUGAUAUUUUUCUUAAUUUCUUGAUAUUUCAAAAUGACAGCUUCAAUCUGCUUAUAAAUUCUC
rnacentral:lncRNA from 1 species